rnacentral:lncRNA from 1 species
UGGAUCAGCCUCCGUUAUGUUAUUCUUUGCACUUUCAGGGUCAGCAUCUUCAGUGUUAGGAUCACCAAGAGAUCCUUUAACAACAGCUCUUUGAGAUUCCUGUGCUCUGGAAGGACACACCGCACACUACUUCAGCAACUAGCCUAGCUUCAGAUUAUACAUUUUCUAUCAAGACAAUUUUUUGUGGGGACUUUGAUGCACAAAUAUGAAUAGAAAUGUCAGAAGAAAUAGCUGGCCAAGCAGAAAGUGCCUAUGGAGAGCAGAAGUUGAGGGUAGAUCUCCAAUCUUAAGGAGAACCUAAUUUCACUAUUGGGAUCAAGUAACAUCUCCAUCACAGAAGACUGUGUUAGCAGAGACAUUUGGAGUUGAGUUUGGAAUCUGGAGCAUCAAGUGCUCAGCACUGUCUACAGAUAAGGAGGACAGUUGCUCAAUCCAUCAUGAUUAAUAUGGAACAGUUUCUUGGGGCACAGGCGGCAGCAGUCAGACCGUGCAGAGCCCUGAAGGUCAGCCUCAGGAUUUCCACCCAGGAGGAAGGCAAGCAGGAAAGUGAUGUGAAAAGGUUUCCGUUUUAAAAGCUCACCACUGCCUCUAGUGUGGUCUAGGAACAGAGGAGACCCUCUUGAGGACUGUUUUGAAGAGGAGGCCAUUGGAGUGCUUUAGGUGAAAGAAGAUGGUGGUAGUAAACAGAGGGGGAUUUCAGAGAGAUUUAGGAGGCCAAAAAUCUUCAGCAACUGGUGAGUGGCUGGACAUGGGGAGAGGGAGAGGGAAGUAGAACAAAUAACUAACAAGCAACUGAGUCCAUAAUGGUGCCACCUGCUGAGAUCAAGGGCGCGGGUGAC